GACAGCAGUCGCCGCGGGAAUACAGAGGGUGCAAGCGUUAAUCGGAAUUACUGGGCGUAAAGCGUGCGCAGGCGGUUAUAUAAGACAGAUGUGAAAUCCCCGGGCUCAACCUGGGAACUGCAUUUGUGACUGUAUAGCUAGAGUACGGCAGAGGGGGAUGGAAUUCCGCGUGUAGCAGUGAAAUGCGUAGAUAUGCGGAGGAACACCGAUGGCGAAGGCAAUCCCCUGGGCCUGUACUGACGCUCAUGCACGAAAGCGUGGGGAGCAAACAGGAUUAGAUACCCCAGUAGUCCCUGUCUCUUAUAC
rnacentral:rRNA from 1 species